UACGUAGGGUGCGAGCGUUGUCCGGAAUUAUUGGGCGUAAAGAGCUUGUAGGCGGUUUGUCGCGUCUGCUGUGAAAGCCCGGGGCUUAACCCCGGGUCUGCAGUGGGUACGGGCAGGCUAGAGUGUGGUAGGGGAGACUGGAAUUCCUGGUGUAGCGGUGGAAUGCGCAGAUAUCAGGAGGAACACCGAUGGCGAAGGCAGGUCUCUGGGCCACUACUGACGCUGAGAAGCGAAAGCGUGGGGAGCGAAC
rnacentral:rRNA from 2 species